rnacentral:lncRNA from 1 species
GAAACUGAGGGUAACCGAACAGGUGCUAACAGAGAAAGAGGAAGCGUUCAGGAGAGAAGAAGCUAAACACUUGGAGGAACAAGCAGUGCUUGAGAAAAGCCUCAAGGUGACUCAUGAGGCUUAUCAAGGUAUGAUGAAAGAGAUAGCAGAGAAAGCGAACACAACACUAGAUGGGUUUCAGUCAAUGUCGGGAAAAUUCACGGAGAAGCAGGGGAAGUACGAGAAAACGGUAAUGGAGGCUUCUAAAUUGCUGUGGACUGCUACGAAUUGGGUGAUAGAGAGGAAUCACGAGAAGGAGAAGAUGAAGAAAGAGAUGGAGAGGAAAGUAGAGGAAAUAAAGAAGCUUGGAGAGAAAGUAAGAGAAGAUGAAAAAGAGAAGGAGAGGAAAGAGGAGGAAAUAAAGAAGCUUGGAGAGAAAGUAAGAGAAGAUGAAAAGGAGAAGGAGAGGAAAGAAGAGGAAAUAAAGAAGCUUGGAGAAAAAGUAAGAGAGGAUGAAAAGGAGAAGGAGAAAAAAGAAGAGGAGAUAAAGAAGCUUGGAGAAAAAUUAAGGGAAGAUGAAAAGGAGAAGGAGAGGAUGAAGGAGACUUUGGUUGGACUUGGAGAAGAGAAAAGAGAAGCAAUAAGGCAAUUAU